AUCGCUUCUCGGCCUUUUGGCUAAGAUCAAGUGUAGCGACAAAUUUGGCGUUUAAUCGGCUCGUGAUAUUUUUGCAAUUUCC